UACAGAGGUCUCGAGCGUUAUGCGGAAUCACUGGGCUUAAAGCGUGUGUAGGUGGAUCGUUAAGUACCUUGUGAAAUCCCACGGCUUAACCGUGGAACUGCUUGGUAUACUGGCGGUCUUGAGCCAGCUAGGGGCUACCGGAACAAAUGGUGGAGCGGUGAAAUGCGUAGAUAUCAUUUGGAACGCCAAUGGUGAAAACAGGUAGCUGGGGCUGUGCUGACACUGAGACACGGAAGCCAGGGGAGCAAACGGG
rnacentral:rRNA from 1 species